AUUGAACGCUGGCGGCAGGCCUAACACAUGCAAGUCGAACGGUAACAGGAAGAAGCUUGCUUCUUUGCUGACGAGUGGCGGACGGGUGAGUAAUGUCUGGGAAACUGCCUGAUGGAGGGGGAUAACUACUGGAAACGGUAGCUAAUACCGCAUAACGUCGCAAGACCAAAGAGGGGGACCUUCGGGCCUCUUGCCAUCGGAUGUGCCCAGAUGGGAUUAGCUAGUAGGUGGGGUAACGGCUCACCUAGGCGACGAUCCCUAGCUGGUCUGAGAGGAUGACCAGCCACACUGGAACUGAGACACGGUCCAGACUCCUACGGGAGGCAGCAGUGGGGAAUAAUGCACAAUGGGCGCAAGCCUGAUGCAGCCAUGCCGCGUGUAUGAAGAAGGCCUUCGGGUUGUAAAGUACUUUCAGCGGGGAGGAAGGGAGUAAAGUUAAUACCUUUGCUCAUUGACGUUACCCGCAGAAGAAGCACCGGCUAACUCCGUG
rnacentral:rRNA from 1 species